GGGGAAUAUUGCACAAUGGGCGCAAGCCUGAUGCAGCCAUGCCGCGUGUGUGAAGAAGGCCUUCGGGUUGUAAAGCACUUUCAGCGAGGAGGAAGGGUAGUGUGUUAAUAGCACAUUGCAUUGACGUUACUCGCAGAAGAAGCACCGGCUAACUCCGUGCCAGCAGCCGCGGUAAUACGGAGGGUGCAAGCGUUAAUCGGAAUUACUGGGCGUAAAGCGCACGCAGGCGGUUUGUUAAGUCAGAUGUGAAAUCCCCGCGCUUAACGUGGAACUGCAUUUGAAACUGGC
rnacentral:rRNA from 1 species